rnacentral:rRNA from 1 species
UCAGGACGAACGCUGGCGGCGUGCUUAACACAUGCAAGUCGAGCGGAAAGGCCUUUCGGGGUACUCGAGCGGCGAACGGGUGAGUAACACGUGAGUAACCUGCCCCAGUCUUUGGGAUAACCUUCGGAAACGGGGGCUAAUACCGAAUAUUCCUGCCGGUCCGCAUGGGUUGGUGGGGAAAGAUUUUUUGGUCUGGGAUGGGCUCGCGGCCUAUCAGCUUGUUGGUGGGGUGAUGGCCUACCAAGGCUUUGACGGGUAGCCGGCCUGAGAGGGCGACCGGCCACACUGGGACUGAGACACGGCCCAGACUCCUACGGGAGGCAGCAGUGGGGAAUAUUGCACAAUGGACGGAAGUCUGAUGCAGCGACGCCGCGUGAGGGAUGACGGCCUUCGGGUUGUAAACCUCUUUCGACAGGGACGAAGCGUGAGUGACGGUACCUGUAGAAGAAGCGCCGGCCAACUACGUGCCAGCAGCCGCGGUAAGACGUAGGGCGCGAGCGUUGUCCGGAUUUAUUGGGCGUAAAGAGCUCGUAGGCGGCUCAUUGCGUCAACGGUGAAAUCCUGCGGCUCAACUGCAGGCUUGCCGUUGAUACGGGUGGGCUAGAGUUCGGUAGGGGAGACUGGAAUUCCUGGUGUAGCGGUGAAAUGCGCAGAUAUCAGGAGGAACACCGGUGGCGAAGGCGGGUCUCUGGGCCGAUACUGAC